GGGGUGAAAGGCCAAUCAAACUCGGAAAUAGCUGGUUCUCCGCGAAAGCUAUUUAGGUAGCGCCUCGGACGAAUACCAUUGGGGGUAGAGCACUGUUUCGGCUAGGGGGUCAUCCCGACUUACCAAACCGAUGCAAACUCCGAAUACCAAUGAGUACUAUCCGGGAGACAGACUGCGGGUGCUAACGUCCGUAGUCAAGAGGAAAACAAUCCAGACCGCCAGCUAAGGCCCCAAAAUUAUAGUUAAGUGGGAAACGAUGUGGGAAGGCUUAGACAGCUAGGAGGUUGGCUUAGAAGCAGCCAUCCUUUAAAGAAAGCGUAACAGCUCACUGGUCUAAACAAGGGUUCCUGCGCCGAAAAUGUAACGGGGCUCAAGCCACGAGCCGAAGCUUUGGGUGUGAUCCGCAAGGAUUACGCGGUAGCGGAGCGUUCCGUAGGCCUGUGAAGGGAUACCUGUGAGGGGUCCUGGA
rnacentral:rRNA from 1 species